AGAAUGGAAUACUGACAGGAAGAUCGACCGUCACAGAACACACGAUCAUGCAGGUCACAUGCACACUUCACAAGAUCUCAAC